rnacentral:rRNA from 1 species
GACGAACGCUGGCGGCGUGCUUAAUACAUGCAAGUCGAACGGAAAGGCCCUGCUCUUGUGGGGUGCUCGAUUGGCGAACGGGUGAGUAACACGCGAGUAACCUGCCCUUGACUUUGGGAUAACUUCAGGAAACUGGGGCUAAUACCGGAUAGGAGCUCCUGCUGCAUGGUGGGGGUUGGAAAGUUUCGGCGGUUGGGGAUGGACUCGCGGCUUACCAGCUUGUUGGUGGGGUAGUGGCUUACCAAGGCUUUGACGGGUAGCCGGCCUGAGAGGGUGACCGGCCACAUUGGGACUGAGGUACGGCCCAGACUCCUACGGGAGGCAGCAGUGGGGAAUAUUGCACAAUGGGCGGAAGCCUGAUGCAGCAGCGCCGCGUGCGGGAUGACGGCCUUCGGGUUGUGAACCGCUUUCGCCUGUGACGAAGCGUGAGUGACGGUAAUGAGUAAGAAAGCACCGGCUAACUACGUG